UACGGAGGGUGCAAACGUUGCUCGGAAUCAUUGGGCGUAAAGCGCACGUAGGCGGCCUGACAAGUCGGGUGUGAAAGCCCUCGCUUAACCGAGGAAGUGCGCCCGAAACUGCAUGGCUUGAGUACCGGAGAGGAUGGCGGAAUUCCCCAAGUAGAGGUGAAAUUCGUAGAUAUGGGGAGGAACACCGGUGGCGAAGGCGGCCAUCUGGACGGAUACUGACGCUGAGACGCGAAAGCGUGGGGAGCAAACAGGG
rnacentral:rRNA from 1 species